CUUCUCUUUGUUUUCUCAUUUACAAAUAGGGAAACCAAGGCACAAUGGAAUGAAAUGCAGCUGAAAUUAGUCGUCGGUGAGAUGAGCGCUCCUCCCCUUCCUGGCACAGUCUGAAAGGUGCAGGGACCUCAAGUCCUGGUCACUUUCUGAGGGACAGCCAUUAUGGUCACCCUCUUGAAGAGAAGAAGGUUUUAUAGUCCCUCAUCACUCAUAGGCC
rnacentral:lncRNA from 1 species